CCUACGGGAGGCAGCAGUGGGGAAUAUUGCACAAUGGGGGCAACCCUGAUGCAGCGAUGCCGCGUGAGUGAAGAAGUAAUUCGUUAUGUAAAGCUCUUUCAGCAGGGAAGAAAAUGACGGUACCUGAGUAAGAAGCCCCGGCUAACUACGUGCCAAGAGCCGCGGUAAUACGUAGUGGGCAAGCGUUAUCCGGAUUUACUGGGGGUAAAGGGAGCGUGGGCGGCUGUGCAAGUCAGGAGUGAAAGGCGGGGGCUCAACCCUCGGACUGCUCUGGCAACUGUACGGCUGGAGUGCAGGAGGGGUGAGUGGAAUUCCAAGUGUAGCGGUGAAAUGCGUAGAUAUUAGGAGGAACACCAGUGGCGAAGGCGGCUUACUGGACUGUAACUGACGUUGAGGCUCGAAAGCGUGGGGAGCAAACAGGAUUAGAUACCCCGGUAGUC
rnacentral:rRNA from 1 species